GCUUCUCCGGCUCUCUGGGUCCUGCGCGUUCAGCCGCCUCUGUGUAAGCGCCCUGAGGACCAGGUCCCCACUGCCCCUGAUGCCGCAGGCCCCCCCGCAAUGCAUGCAGGCCCGGCAUGCAGGCCUCUGAUCUGCAAAGGGGAAAGGAGAGGAAAGAUUUCAGAGAGAACAGCCCUGCAUGGAGUUGGAACCUUGAAAUGACUGAAUUUAGAACCAGAGUUGCCUGCUUACGGGAAAGGAGCUACUCAAACAGAAGAGACAGAGUGACAUUGAGGUGCCAAGAUGAAGUAUGUUUCCCGAACAAAGUGGGUAUAGGAAUUUGAGAGCCAAUAGCUCCACUCUAGAAAAUUAAAGACGGGCGUAUUUCUGCAUAUCGGGGCCAGAGUGAAGGAACCUCCGCCGGCUUCACUGCACAUUAAAGACCCCCCUGGGCUGCUCUUGCCUCAUGAAUCUGAUGCCCCCUGAGCAACCUCUCACCCUUCAGCACUGCUCAGGUGGGCUCUGUGCUGCUGUGCAGUGGAGCAGGUGGGAAAGGAAUCCGCUGUUCCUCCAAAAUUCACGUUUACCCAGAACCUCAGAAUGUGAGUUUGUUUGGAAAUAAGCUCCUUGCAGAUGUGAUUAAGGCUCCAGCUGAGGUUAUACUGGAUUAGGGCAGGCCCUAAAUCCAAGGAGAGAGCCUUGUAAGAGACAGAAAAAGACAUACAGAGACAAGAGGAAAGAGGCCAGGGAGAUGGGGCAGAGACUGGAGUGAUGCUGCCACGAGCCAAGGAAUGCUGGAAGCCACCAGAAGUGGGAGGGGGUGAGGAAGACCAUUCCCUAGAGACUUCAGCGGGACCAUGGCACUGCUGAUAGCUUAGUGUUGGGCUGCUGGCCUCCAGAACUAUGAAAGUAAAUUUAUGUUAUUUUAAGCCACCCAGCUUGAGGUAAUUCUUAUGGCAGCCCUACAGAGCAAAUACACUUCUCUGACACAAUUAUGGUGAUAAGAAUUGGCCCAACCCUAACAAUGUGGGGUCUGGCAUAAGCGUACACAUCCCCCAUGUCUAAAUAUUUAAAACCACACACUGCUCUUCAUAUCCGUUAGGAUGGCUAUUAUUUAAAAGAACCCCCACAAACACAAAAUAACAGGUGUUGGUGAGAAUGUGGAGAAAUUGGAAAUCUCCUGAAUUGCUGGUGGGAUUGUAAAAUGGUGCAGCCACUGUAGAAAACAGUUCUCCAAAUAGUUAAACAUAGAUUCCCAUUUGAUUCCCUAGUUACACUUUGGGUAUGUACCCAAAAGAAUUGAAGGCAGGAACUUGAACAGAUACUUGUACACCAGGGAUCAUAGCAGCCCUGAUUCACACUAGCUGAAAGGUGGAAACGACCCAAUUGCCCAUGAUGGAGGAAUGGAUACACAAAACGUGGUAUGUAGCUACAAUGGGACAUUAUUCAGCCAUAAAAAGGAAGGAAAUUCUGACACAUUGAUACAUGUGAUCUGACACAUUGACACACGUUGAUACACCUCCUUGGUUAAAUUUAUUCCUAUAAUAUGGAUGAACCGUGAAACCGUU
rnacentral:lncRNA from 1 species